rnacentral:rRNA from 1 species
CCCUUAGAUGUUCUGGGCCGCACGCGCGCUACACUGAUGCAUUCAACGAGUCCAACCUUGACCGAGAGGUCCGGGUAAUCUUUGAAACUGCAUCGUGAUGGGGCUAGAUUAUUGCAAUUAUUAAUCUUCAACGAGGAAUGCCUAGUAAGCGUGAUUCAUCAAAUCGCGUUGAUUACGUCCCUGCCCUUUGUACACACCGCCCGUCGCUCCUACCGAUUGAAUGGUCCGGUGAAGCGCUCGGACCGCGGCCUCUUGACGGUUUUCUGUCGAUUGGCUGUGGGAAGUUCGUUAAACCUUAUCAUUUAGAGGAAGGAGAAGUCGUAACA